AGUGAGAGAGAGAGACAGAGAGAAAGGUCUUCCUUUGCCGUUGGUUCACCCUCCAAUGGCCGCCGCGGCCGGCGCGCUGCGGCCGGCGCACCGCGCUGAUCCGAUGGCAGGAGCCAGGAGCCAGGUGCUUUUCCUGGUCUCCCAUGGGGUGCAGGGCCCAAGCACCUGGGCCAUCCUCCACUGCACUCCCUGGCCACAGCAGAGGGCUGGCCUGGAAGAGGGGCAACCGGGACAGAAUCCGGCGCCCCGACCGGGACUAGAACCCGGUGUGCCGGCGCCGCUAGGCGGAGGAUUAGCCUAGUGAGCCGCGGCGCCGGCCUGACCUCUCUCUUCAUACCUGCUCUGGUAUGGCACUCUGCAUCCCACUCUGGUUGCUACCAGCUGCCCAGAUGUCUAGCUCUGUCUGCUAGUUCUGGUCUUACUAACUUUACAGCCAGAUUUAAUUUGGCUCAACCUUUGGUCCUCUCCAGGUGACAGACUACAUUCUUCCUCUAGCACUUCCUGCCCUUGGUCAUUCUGAUUUAGGGCUCAGUGCAGUUUUCACUGCAUCUAGUCCCCAGGUACCCUUUAUCCUCAGUUCCUGAAUGAAUCACUCUAUCUGGCAAUCCCUGUUGGCUGGGCUCAGUUCCCUACAUCCAAGCUAUUGUGUUGAUCUCUAGUCCUCAGCCAGAUCUCCCUCCUCUGGCUGACCGCCUACAUCUGCCAUUGUGUGCCCACCUCCUCAUUCCUGUCUUCUUCUUCACUUUCAAAACUUGCUUUGGAGAAGCAUCUCAGCUGUCAGACAUCUCACUGUCCCCCCAGGGGGCCUCACCAGCUCUGGGCUCAGACUUGGCAUGGCUGGUGCCAUCAGGUGAGAGACACUCCCCUAGACUCCUGUAGAGUAACUGACCUGGUGAACCUCAGCUCCUUCAUUCCCGUGCCUUGGCUGCACUGCCAAGGAGAGAGAUUUAGAAGUGCCCAGGGCCACCUCAAUGGGACUUCUGGCUGAGUGUUUUGGAUCUCUUGUGUACUUUGCAAUUUGAAAUUAACCACAGACUCGACUCCCAAAGUUAAAAACAGUGUAAAACCUAGCAUUUCUAAAAGUGUGGGUCUGUGACCAUCUGAAUCAGAGUUGUCAUUAAAAAUAUAGAUUCUAGCCCAUCACUUCAGAAUCCUAAGGGGAUUAUUAGAUUGAUUUCUGGGCACAACAACAUGUGAUAGCUACUGAUUUCAUCUGUCUCCCAGGAGCAGCAGUAUUCCAUUUAAGCCAUCUACAGCAGUCAAGUGACCCCUCUGGUCUAGGUAGUCUUUGAAAACAGGAGCUUCCAGAAUAUCAAAGAAACCUUGAAAUUACACAUGUCUGCCCUAUUCAAAGAAAGCACCAACGAAUUUGUUGGGAGCCUUCCUUGCCCCACACUAUGACUAGACACAGUUGGGGAAACUGGCUGACUAAAACACCCGACUAAUUCAGACUUUCAAGUGAAGGCACAUACUUUCCUUUGUGUCUCAGGGAAACAGAGACAGCAUGGGGACAGCUUGCAACAGGUCUCACCUUGUCAGCGAGGAGCUGUCAGAGUUGGCAGGUGAGUCUGCUCUGACGGCUGUGACAAGGGAAGGUACAUGUGGUGAAGAAAAAGUGGGUCACUGUUUUAAGAUAAAAAAAUUGACAUGAAAUUUUAUGUGAAAGCAAAUCUUUGUGGGAGGUACCUAUCAAAUUAAGAGAAGCUUUUGGAGAAGAAGUAAGGUCGAAAUAUGUAAAGACAGUAGGGAUAAUAGCUGGAAUAUCGAGAGGAUCUGUAUAGAACCACAGAUUUCUGACAGCUAGGGCCCUCUGAAAACAUGUAGACCAGUGGUUUCCAAUGUUUUCUUUAGCCCCUUGAGCCCAUUUGUCAACCAGAUGUCUUAUGCAGAAAUCUAAGAUAUUAAAUAGAUAAACAGAGUUAUUCUGUUGAAGUAUGUGUGUGUAGAUUAGUCAGGACAGGCUAAGUUAUGUACAAUAACAAAUAAUCCAAAACUUUCAUCAGCUUCCAUAAUGUUCCUUGCUCGUGCUCUAUUACAAAUGGGCAUGGGUUCAAUUCCACAGCUCCACAGCUCCUCAUGCCAGGACCCAGGCUGACAGGGCAGCUGCCAUCUUGAACAUUGUUGGUUGUCAUGGCAGCAGAACUCUGAGGACUAUUGCAUUGCCGAUUAAAUGCUCCAGUUGACAGGAACACUUCUAGCCAUCACAUGACCCUACUCAGCCACAACGGAGCCAAUGAAUACAAUCCUACCACGUGCAACAAGGAAUUUCCUACUGAAAACACUUGGCGGACACUACCUUUGACAACCACUGUGAAGGUGAAUGUGUUUGUGUAUGUGUGUGCACAAGUUCUCAUCCACCCCUAGGAUUAUCCCCAGCUGUCUCCAUGGCAGUAGUUCAAAACUUACUGAAUCAGCUCCCUUAUUUUAAGGAACUGAGAUCAAGUAAUAUCAAAACCUGAACCAGAGUGGAGCUCUCUUAUCUCUCAUUCCAAGGCUCCUCCCAUUUUAAGCUGAUUAGGUGAUGUGUGUGUGGGGGAGGGACAGGAAAAGAGAAAGAGACAAAAUGGUGACUCAAGAGUUAAAUGCAGAUAAAGAUGAGAAAUUAUUCUGAAAGGAAAUGUGAACUUGGAGGAAAUUUUCCGUGAAGGCUUGCCGUGCAUUCCAAGUGACAAAUAGAUGCAGUAAAGACAUUAUAUUUGCUCUGAUUACCCAAGGGAUGCCGGGCAAUGGGAAGAGUUUUUGAAGAGAACAGCAACUGAUGAUGAAACGCGGUGUUCCUGAUGUGGGAAGGAAGCCAGGCAGAAACCAUCAGCUUGGCUGAGACCUGGGAGAAAGACUCAUGUUGAGAUCACAAGGGAGGAGGGGACCAACUGACGCUGCACAAGUCAAGGGCGCCGUAGAGCGAGCAUGUAUCCCACACACAGGAUUAAACAGUUCUGCUGGGCUCAACAAACAUCAACUGUUACCCACUCUGUCCUAAGCACAGUUAAGCGCCAGGAACCCAGAGACAGCCACACACAGCCCGAGGGAGAAACAGUGAGGCCUGAACUGGGGUGAGGGAAGAAACCACAAGGCUUUGAGACUAGUAAUGGGCAUGUUGGGGUGGGGGUGAUGAUAAAUGAAGGUGCACCUAGGAUACCUCCUAAACUUGUAUCUUCUUGGGUUUUCCAAUAUGCAUUUGGGUCAGAAUAGUUCUUCAGGCAGGUCUGCUGUCUACAAUGGAUAUGUAAGAUUUCUGUAUUCAUGUGCUCCUUUCUCAUUGUGACCACCUCUCCCCUAAAUACACGUACCCCUGCAGGGGCACAUACAUCUCCAUAUGUCCCGGGAGGGCCAGUAUCCCUUCCUUCCCUGCACCACCAUUUCACAGCCACUGCUCCCACUCACCCUCUGCAGUACAGCCUGAAUUAUCUUUCUCUCUCUAGAAUCAACAGCAAAAACACUAUGAAUGAGAGCCUUUCCUAACCUCAUCUGACCCCACCGCUUCCUAAAUUCCUCUGGGAGUAUAGUGAGGCUUACAUGAGGCUUCCUCCAGUCUGGAUCAUUCCUGGUAUUUCUACCUCCAUUUCUCUCCAUUCGCGCACACAUUCAUUCAUUCAUGCUGCAAGUUCAUGAAAUGACUUGAAGUUCUUUUGAUGCUUAAGGCAACUUCCCACCUCGGUGCUUUUGCAUCUACCUUGGACUCUGCACCUUGGCCAGCAGGUGAAACACUGCCUGCUAAUCUGCCCACUCUUUCCUUGUGCUGCCACAGUGGCCAGUGCCUGACUCUGUCCUGAUGACACUGCUUAAAAUUAUCUGUUUACUUGGAGGAAAGCUAGUCACUCAGCCUCUAGAGAGAUUAUGUGAAUUUUCCCAUUUUCAAUAUUAAUAAGCUUAAAAUUUUCUACAUGCUCUAUCAUUUUUUUCUUCUGUAAAAUGGGGAUAAUGAUAUCCAUAGAUUUAUCCUGAAGAUCAAGAUAAUACAAGUAAAGUACUAGCUAAUUGCAGGUGUUAGCUAUAUGAAUAUAUGAAUAAUAUGGAUUAAGAAGAUGUUAUAUUACACCAUGCUAUCAGAAUUGAGGGGAGAUGUCUUAUUUUAUGUAGCUUUUGUUUUUCAGUCAGUGCUUAGCAAAAUGCAAGGAAAACAGGAAACCUCCAAAUAUUUUUAAAUGAAUAAACCAGUUAGGAAAACAUCAAAUUGUGUUAAGUGAUUGAUCAGAUUAAGUAGACAAGAAAAUGUCAUACAUAUUUCAGAUUUACAAGUAACAUGUUUGAAAAAGCAAAACUUGCCCCCACCAAAGGAGGUGCUUCGUUUGUUUAGAAACUUCAUUGAUGUGAAUCUGCCAGUCUGUUGAUGGUGCCAGGGCAGGUGCUGCACUCCCUUGCACCCUGGAGAGGAGCGUGGGAGCUGGGGCACAUGGGGGCUUUGCUCUCAGCCCCACCAGGUAUGCACCCAGGCUCUCCUGCUUCUAGCCCCAGGACCUUGUAUUGUUCAGGACCUUGUCCUCGAGGUGGUUACCUAAGCUUUAGGAGUGUUAGUGUCCUGGCAAAGAUGUGGAGUUGUUGCCAGCCUAACGGUCUCAUUGGAGUGUUGGGAUGAGAACAGGUGUAUCUAUGGCUCUCAGGGCUGCUCAUUAAUGGUGACUUAUUUUACCUUGCAUUGCCAGGUGCUUUAUUCCGGUAGUAAACUUGUGAGUAGCUUAGAGGUGGGGAUUCAAGGUCUGGGUAAGUCGAGCAGCUGAGAUAUCCAUUCAUGGAAGCCCGAGCAGGACCAGGGGAGUCUCAUUAAAUGCAGCUGUCUGUCCAGUCUCUGCCACUGUGUGCCUGUUACAUGACCUUCUAUUUCUUCUCUGUUUCAGCACUUCCUCUCAUUCUUGCCUUAUUCACUGGCUUCUGUUUACCAUCUGCCUGCACGUGGCUGCACGUGUAACUGCUCUGUGGCACCACCAGGAACGCCAUCUCAGUUUGUGUGGAGUUCGUCACUUGCCCUCAAUUCCAGUCUUCUCUGGGUCAGUUUCUUGAAGGAGUCAUUGGAAUAAAUGUCAACUCUGGCGCUUGGCUGACCACGUACUGGAAGAAAAUGAAGUUAGAUGUCAGUGGCAUCUGAGACAGUGACUGUGCCUCUCGAUGGUGGAGCUCCCCACUCUCCUUCCCCUCAUUCCUGCCCAUCACACCUCAAGGUGUCCAGUGGCCGUGGGCCUACAGUCAGGACUGGAGGGGCUGCGGCCUGACCUCAGCAGGCCGUGUCACAUACUUUGUUAUGGUGACAGAAAGCCGACUGACACAGAGAAAAAUUUUAACCACCUGGAGCCCCUGAAAAUUCUGCCGCAGGAAGUUGACACAUUCACUCAUGCACCCGGUCAUCCGUGUGUGCAUUCAGCAAAUACUCAGCACACAGCAGAGAGCUACGGUCUCAUUUCUGCGCUGGUGCUGAGCACGGGACUGGUCUAUGGCCUCCUGGAACUUAGAUUCUGGUGCGUCAGACGGAGAAUCGAACACCAGUAGUCACCUCGUUGUGCUAAGUGCUUUGCAGGCGCAAGCUCAAACCUUCUCGCCAUGACAUUAGGAGGUCGGGGGAACCACUGCUGCCAUUUUACAGAUAAAGAAAGUGAGUCCUAGGGAAGGUCUAAAGAAGAAAUGUCUAUUCAGCAGUGCUGUCCAGCCAUUGAAUGAAAGAGGAGCUGCUCAGAAGCUGUGCGACCAUUUGUUGAGGUGUAACCAUCAACCGCUUGCACCCUUUCCUUUCUUGUUAAUGUAAGAGACGGGACGAGAGCUUAUCCUACUGCCCUGUGGUGAGUUACUGCUUGGCUUUCUCCACCGAGUACGAUCUCCUUGAGGGCAGCACUGUGGGCCUGAGAGUCAUCUCUACAUCACCAGUACCCAGCAGUGGGUCUGGCACGGACAGGCCCUCAGGAAAAGUUCAGUGGAGGAAUAAGUGAACAGAGGGUUAGAUGAGGCUAGUCGGAGGAUUUCUGUUAGGAUCCACCCUACGACUCAGCCAGGAGUUGCUUUGGGCCCUUGAAUAAAGUGAAAGAAGGAGAGCUUUCAGUUAGAGGAAAGUUCCCACUGCUGGUCUUCUCUCCCUCCGUUUGCCUUUCAGGGACUUUGGGGCACUGAGAUAGUAAUUAUAGCAACAGUCAAGGGGGCCAGCGCUGUGGUGUAGCGGGUGAAGCUGCCGCCUGCAGUACCAGCAGACCAUAUGGGUGCUGGUUGAGUCCCGGCUGCUCCACUUCCAAUCCAGCUCUCUGCUAUGGCCUGGGAUAGCAGUAGAAGAUGGCCCAAGCCCUUGGGCCCCUGCACCACGUGGGAGACCCGAAAGAAGCUUGGCACAGCUCUGGCCAUUGUGGUCAACUGGGGAGUGAACCAGCAGAUGGAAGACCCCUCUCUCUCUCUGCCUCUCCUUCUCUCUCUGUGUAACUCUGCCUUUCAAAUAGAUAAAUAAAU